rnacentral:rRNA from 1 species
ACACAUGCAAGUCGAACGGAGUGCUCAUGACAGAGGUUUCGGCCAAUGGAUUGAGUUACUUAGUGGCGGACGGGUGAGUAACGCGUGAGGAACCUGCCUUGGAGUGGGGAAUAACAGUUGGAAACAGCUGCUAAUACCGCAUAAUGCAGUUGGGUCGCAUGGCCCUGACUGCCAAAGAUUUAUCGCUCUGAGAUGGACUCGCGUCCGAUUAGCUAGAUGGUGAGGUAACGGCCCACCAUGGCGACGAUCGGUAGCCGGACUGAGAGGUUGAUCGGCGGUCGACGCGGCCG